CCUACGGGAGGCAGCAGUGGGGAAUUUUGGACAAUGGGCGCAAGCCUGAUCCAGCCAUGCCGCGUGCGGGAAGAAGGCCUUCGGGUUGUAAACCGCUUUUGUCAGGGAAGAAAUCCUUUGAGCUAAUACCUCGGGGGGAUGACGGUACCUGAAGAAUAAGCACCGGCUAACUACGUGCCAGCAGCCGCGGUAAUACGUAGGGUGCGAGCGUUAAUCGGAAUUACUGGGCGUAAAGCGUGCGCAGGCGGUCUUGCAAGACAGGUGUGAAAUCCCCGGGCUUAACCUGGGAACUGCACUUGUGACUGCAAGGCUGGAGUACGGCAGAGGGGGAUGGAAUUCCGCGUGUAGCAGUGAAAUGCGUAGAUAUGCGGAGGAACACCGAUGGCGAAGGCAAUCCCCUGGGCCUGUACUGACGCUCAUGCACGAAAGCGUGGGGAGCAAACAGGAUUAGAUACCCUGGUAGUCCACGCCCUAAACGAUGUCAACUGGUUGUUGGACGGCUUGCUGUUCAGUACGAAGCUAACGCGUGAAGUUGACCGCCUGGGGAGUCGGCCGCAAGGUUGAAACUCAAAGGAUUGACGGCUGAGAGNGCGAGACGACGACGAGGGACGGAGG
rnacentral:rRNA from 1 species